rnacentral:rRNA from 1 species
AGUGAUUUUUUUUUAAAUGGCCGCAGUACCUUGACUGUGCUAAGGUAGCAUAAUCAAUUGGCUUCUAAUUAAAGUCUGGAAUGAAAGGAAAUAUGAAGUAAUUCUGUCUUAAAAGAUUUUUUUUGAAUUUAUUUAAAUGAUGAAAAUAUCAUUUUGUAGAAAAAAGACGAGAAGACCCUUAGAGUUUUGAUAUUAUUAUAUUUUUGUUGGGGCGACAGGUAAACACUAUAACUUUACGAAAUAUUAUUGAUCGAUUUUUUAUAAGAAUAAUAAAACUACCUUAGGGAUAACAGCAUUAUAUAUUUUUUAUGAUUGUGACCUCGAUGUUGGACUAGGAACUUUAUGGCUAGCCGUCAAAAAAGAUUUGUUCUGUUCGAACAAUUUUAUCCUACAUGAUCUGAG